GUACUGGAGCAAAUCCUGACUCAUCUGCAGCGGAGAAAACCCAAGCUCCCAUGGGCCACACACUCUUUUUGUCAUCAGCUUGUGAGGAGCAACGAUUUGGAAGAAGAAAUAUGCUCCAUCCAUAUCAGCGGAGCUCGGCUGCCCUGUGAUCAACGUCCCCUCAAGGCGUCCGCUCCCACCCAAAGUGCGUCCAAGAAGAUGAUGCCCUCGGAAAAGAAUGGCACUGCAAGGCCGUGGUUGCAUGGUGACCAUCAAUCAUAAACCACUUGUUCUGGGCGGCAGCCUCAUCACAGUCAAGUGACGAAAUGGUUGCCAAGUGGAGCUCAGUGGUCAAUCAUGUCCAUGAGAGCAACGAGUUUCCCACUAGCCUGCACCCAACCCUCACUGGCGAGGAGGCAAGUGACUGGCUGAAGCCAAGCUCAAAGGCAUGCAAGUUCUCCCGUAUCAUCCUCCAGAAAAGCACAUCGACUUCUUCUCACUGCCAUCCAUUAAAAUGAGGAUGUUGACAGGCCCCGGGCAACUAAUGCAGAUGGAAAUCCGCGCUUCCAGAUUAGCUACCCCAAGCGGAAGAGAGGCGACUACAGUAUAAAGGCCAGUCUACCU